CAACAAGUUUUGGUUUAUUUGGGUACAUUAACAAACUAAUUCAGACCCACUGUGGCUCAUCCCUCAUUCAGCAUGUAUGAGUUUUCAUUAAUGACCCCUUUCCCAUACUGUUUCUUCCCAUUUGUCCUACGUGCUUGCUUUUGGCUGUCAGAACAUGCACCUUGCAGGGACGAUUGGCAUAGUCCCUGGGGCAAGAAAUUAAAAAGUUUCCCUUGGAGGUGAAGGGAGGUCCCCAGCUUUUCUCAGCUUUAUAGCUUGGGAACUGCGUGAUUUUGGUCCAGGGCUCAAAUGCAGCCAUUGUGCCUAAAAAGGUGAUGGUGGCAAUGCUGUGUCAUGCCUAUGACCUGUUCAGUAGUUUUGACAGGGAGCAAGGCUGUUACUAACUGACACACUCAACUGCCUUGAAAAAAAAAUAUAUAUUGUUUUUGUUCAGGGAAGUGUCUGUCUUAGUUCCCAAAAUGCAGCAGAUUUAUGGAUGUGGUGUUAAGAAGGAGCAGGAGAGCUUGGCUUAAAGCAGGAGCUUAAGGGGGGAGAAGGGAAGAUUGGGACAGCCUUUAUUAGCAGGGCACUGCAAACACAACAUACUCGAAAUCCCUUUUUCUUUUAACAUUUUCCCCAGCUUGGGUCUUGCUCAACCAGCCAGAGAACAAAUCUGACACAACCUGUGGGAGCACAAUGGCAGCUUGUCUAUGGCUUGAAAUGCAUACAUCAAGAACAGAGGCCUGUCCUCAAGGCCGUGCACCUAGAAGAGAAAAUAGAGAAACAGAAUACAAAGACUCAACCAUGCCAAACAGGAAGAAAAUGAAGGAGGGAAAAAAAGAAGAAGAAGAAGAAGAAGAAGAAGAAAAGCCAGAUCACCAAGGUAAAUCAUUGACUACGAGCUAUUCACUUCACAGCACGGUGAUGCUGUUUUGUGUGUAGAUCCUCCCCAUUUGCAGAACAGCUUCUUCACCAAAGAACCCAAAGCACUUCCCAAACUCCCCUGCACUCAUUUACUUAUUUCACAUCCCCCCAACCUGCAGCCAUGCACUUUCACACUCAGUCUGAAGAAAAUAACCUUCCUCAAGUCAACCAGAAACAGAAAGACUAAAACAACAGCCACCAGAAAAGGUCUGGAGAGCAAAAAGCACUCCCCAGAAGGGAGAGGGCCUGGAAGGACAAAAGAUGUCAUGGAUCCACUAAUAUAUGAGGUCCUCUUGCCAAUCAGAUAGUGCCUAGGGGUGCAAUUUGCCCCACUGGGGGAAUCUGAUUUCACACAAGUGAUCGCUGGAUUUCCUUUUUCCUCAGUGCAGACGGUAUCUGGAGAUCAAAGCCCCACUGGGAGGUGGUAAAUAGUAUAUUCCCACUUUGAUCGAUCUGUAACUACCACGAAUGCAAACACAGCAAGAGGAGAACACAUCCUUUAUGCAACACUUCCUAUGCUUUUCAGACUAGUCAUAUUGCUGACCAAAAGAAACAGAUUUAAAGGGCAGAGUUAGUCAAAUUCUGCUCUGUGCUUUUCCUUUGCUAUUAUAGUGCUUCAUUAAGGGUGAUGGGGGAUCUAUUCCUUUGCUCUCCCCCCUCUUCUGCUCCACUCAGUCAUCCUCUAGACCAGGUAAUAUGUAACUCCAUUCAUUGUGAUGCUAACGAGUUCUAUUUAGCUGUAUUUAACUGGAUAUCGUGACUCCAUGCGAUGACCUUUCACUCCUGGGAAGUAGUUUUAAAUUUGAUCCACAGCAAAGGAAAAUCCCUUCAAUUCAUUGGCUGUGAAAGGUCACAAGUGAAAUGUGUUCUGAUGGUAUCUGCUCGUGGUUUAGUUCUCAGUAUACCUGAGCAUCAAGCUGGUCUGAAUCAGCUUUUGUCCUGACAGCCUGAGUACCAAGCACCCUGAGAAAGCACUGUGGAAAAGGCCGCCAAGCAUCUGGUGCUGCCAACUGGUAUA
rnacentral:lncRNA from 1 species